UGUUAAAAGUUUCAUCAAUUUGUACUUUUAAAAAUUAACAUGGCAAACGAAAUAAUCAUACAAAAACACAUAAUGUGCCACGUGUACUCAUGGUAAUGUAUAGGGAUCAGUUUUUAAUGGUAGAAAUUGAAGGAACUUUUAACA
rfam:Gossypium hirsutum cultivar TM-1 chromosome 14, whole genome shotgun sequence